GCUGGGGAGGCCUACACAUGCAGUCGAGCGGUAGCACAGAGAAGCUUGCUUCUUGGGUGACGAGCGGCGGACGGGUGAGUAAUGCAUAGGAAUCUGCCCGAUAGUGGGGGAUAACCUGGGGAAACCCAGGCUAAUACCGCAUACGUCCUACGGGAGAAAGGGGGCUUCGGCUCCCGCUAUUGGAUGAGCCUAUGUCGGAUUAGCUAGUUGGUGAGGUAAAGGCUCACCAAGGCGACGAUCCGUAGCUGGUCUGAGAGGAUGAUCAGCCACAUCGGGACUGAGACACGGCCCGAACUCCUACGGGAGGCAGCAGUGGGGAAUAUUGGACAAUGGGCGCAAGCCUGAUCCAGCCAUGCCGCGUGUGUGAAGAAGGCCUUCGGGUUGUAAAGCACUUUCAGCGAGGAAGAACGCCUAGCGGUUAAUACCCGCUAGGAAAGACAUCACUCGCAGAAGAAGCACCGGCUAACUCCGUGCCAGCAGCCGCGGUAAUACGGAGGGUGCAAGCGUUAAUCGGAAUUACUGGGCGUAAAGCGCGCGUAGGUGGCUUGAUAAGCCGGUUGUGAAAGCCCCGGGCUCAACCUGGGAACGGCAUCCGGAACUGUCAAGCUAGAGUGCAGGAGAGGAAGGUAGAAUUCCCGGUGUAGCGGUGAAAUGCGUAGAGAUCGGGAGGAAUACCAGUGGCGAAGGCGGCCUUCUGGACUGACACUGACACUGAGGUGCGAAAGCGUGGGUAGCAAACAGGAUUAGAUACCCUGGUAGUCCACGCCGUAAACGAUGUCGACCAGCCGUUGGGUGCCUAGCGCACUUUGUGGCGAAGUAACGCGAUAA
rnacentral:rRNA from 1 species